GCGGCGAGCGACAGGGAUCAGCCCAGCACCGAAUCUCUGGCGCCCUGCGCGCCAGCGAAAUGUGGUGUUCAGGAGGGUCCGUAAUUCCGGGGCUCGCCGUGCCGAGUCCAAGUCCUUCUUGAACGGGGCCACGGUCCGCAGAGGGUGCCAGACCCGUAGCGGCCGGUGGCGUCCCCGGGUGGACCUCUCCUUAGAGUCGGGUUGCUUGAGAGUGCAGCCUAAAGCGGGUGGUAAACUCCAUCUAAGGCUAAAUAUUACCACGAGACCGAUAGCGAACAAGUACCGUGAGGGAAAGUUGAAAAGAACUUUGAAGAGAGAGUUCAAUAGUACGUGAAACCGUUCAGGGGUAAACGGGGAAGACUUGAAAAUCCGAAAGGAGAGAUUCACGCCUUCCGCAGGGCCUGUCGAGCCCGUCCGCGUAUGGUUGCACCCCCGCGCUCUGGCUUCGGCCCGGGCGUCGGCGGGUCGGCCGGCCGGGCGGGCGAGGCGGACCCGCGGAGGGCCGCACUUCUCUCCCAGUAGGACGUCGCGACCCGUUCGGAGGCAGGCCUGAUGCCCGGCCACGAGUCUCGAGCAGCGACGGCCCCCGGGCCGUCGCUCCCGAGUCGGCCGAGGCAGGGUAGCGUUACGGACGGUAUUUGUAGACGGUGCUGGACCGCUCCUCGGAGCGCUCCCGGUCACCCUCGAGUCGGAUUCUGAGCGCGGUUGCGGGCCUCCCGGGGCCCGCGUCGUCUCGCUUCCGGCUGUCGGAGGGGGGUCCUGGGGCCGAGUUCACGUCACCCGUCGGCGACGCCGCAGUUUCGAGCUCUUACCCGACCCGUCUUGAAACACGGACCAAGGAGUCCAACGUGUGCGCAAGUCGUUGGGUGAUUAAACCCAAUGGCGUAAUCAAGGUGAAGGACAGUCCUCUGUCCCAGGGAGGAGGGGGGCCUGCCUUAACGGGCGGCUCCCCGCACUCCCGGGGCGUCUCUGGCUCAUUGCGAGCGGAGGCGCACCUAGAGCGUCCGCGUUGGGACCCGAAAGAUGGUGAACUAUGCCUGGCCAGGACGAAGCCAGGGGAAACCCUGGUGGAGGUCCGUAGCGGUUCUGACGUGCAAAUCGAUCGUCGGAGCUGGGUAUAGGGGCGAAAGACUAAUCGAACCAUCUAGUAGCUGGUUCCCUCCGAAGUUUCCCUCAGGAUAGCUGGCGCCCAGGUUGAGACGAGUCUCAUCUGGUAAAGCGAAUGAUUAGAGGCAUUGGGGUCGAAACGACCUCAACCUAUUCUCAAACUUUAAAUGGAUGAGAACCCCGGCUUGCUUGAUCAUUCCUCGUGAAGCCGGGGCUCGGAUCCGGGUGCCAAGUGGGCCAAUUUUGGUAAGCAGAACUGGCGCUGUGGGAUGAACCAAACGCAGAGUUAAGGCGCCUAAAUCGACGCUCAUCAGACACCAUGAAAGGCGUUGGUUGCUUAAGACAGCAGGACGGUGGCCAUGGAAGUCGGAAUCCGCUAAGGAGUGUGUAACAACUCACCUGCCGAAGCAACUAGCCCUGAAAAUGGAUGGCGCUGUAGCGUCGUGCCUAUACUCUGCCGCCAACGGCAAACCCGGCUCGGCCCCGCGAGGGGCCGGUCGCCGUUACGCCUUGGUGAGUAGGAGGGCCGCGGCGAUGUGCGUAGAAGGGUCUGGGCGUGAGCCCGCCUGGAGCCGUCGCCGGCGCAGAUCUUGGUGGUAGUAGCAAAUACUCCAGCGAGGCCCUGGAGGACUGAUGUGGAGAAGGGUUUCUUGUGAACAGCCGUUGCACAAGAGUCAGUCGGUCCUAAGCCCUAGGAGAAAUCCGAUGUCGAUGGGCGCCGUUAUGUCAGUCCCUCGAGCCCGAGCGGCGCAGUCGCGCGCGGCAGGCCCCACGCGGGCAGGCCGCGCCGGCUCGCCAUCGGGCCGAGAACGGCAGAGUUGGCGCCCUCGUUCGGGCGAAAGGGAAUCCGGUUCCUAUUCCGGAACCUGGCCGCGGAACCGUUCCAAGUCGUGCCCUCUGACGAGAGCUCGUCGGGGUAACCUAAAAGGACCCGGAGACGCCGUCGGGAGAUCCAGGGAGAGUUGUCUCUUCUCUAUAAGCGUUCGAGUUCCCUGGAAACCUCUAGCAGGGAGAUAGGGUUUGGAGCGCAAAGAGCACCGCAGUUACGGCGGUGUCUGGAUCUUCCCCUCGGACCUUGAAAAUCCGGGUGAGGGCUACGAGGAACACCGCGCCAGACCGUACCCAUAUCCGCAGCAGGUCUCCAAGGUGAACAGCCUCUAGUCGUUAGUAUAAUGUGGGUAAGGGAAGUCGGCAAACUGGAUCCGUAACCUUGGGAUAAGGAUUGGCUCUGAGGAUCGUGGUGAGCCGGGCUUGGUUGGGAAGUGGAGCGGUGUCAACGAUCCGGGCCUGGGCGAGGAGAGUGGCGUUUCGGCGUUCACGAUCCUCUGCUCGGUCCCGCGACUUGGCCACCCACGGACCUUCCUUGCUGCGAGCUGUCGGCCGCCUAGUCGCC
rnacentral:rRNA from 1 species